UACGAAGGGGGCUAGCGUUGCUCGGAAUCACUGGGCGUAAAGCGCACGUAGGCGGCUUUCUAAGUCAGGGGUGAAAUCCUGGAGCUCAACUCCAGAACUGCCUUUGAUACUGGAGAGCUUGAGUCCGGAAGAGGUGAGUGGAACUCCGAGUGUAGAGGUGAAAUUCGUAGAUAUUCGGAAGAACACCAGUGGCGAAGGCGGCUCACUGGCCCGGAACUGACGCUGAGGUGCGAAAGCGUGGGGAGCAAACAGG
rnacentral:rRNA from 1 species